AGAAAUUCUAUUCCAUUUUUUCUCUUCUUUUUCCUUUUUGCUUUUUCGUUUGGGAACUUCCUAGUGACAUAUCUUCAAGCUUGUGUGUUAACUGUUCAGUAGUGUCCAACUCUUUGCAGCCCCUUGGACUGUAGCCCACCACGCUCCUCUGUCCAUGAGAUUCUCUAGGCAAGAAUACUGGAGUAGGUUGCCAUUUCCUUCUCUAGGGGAUCAUCCCAGCUAUGUCUCCUGUAUUGCAGGCAGAUUCUUUACCUUCUGAACCACCAGGGAAGCCCAAAACAAAAUGACCAUGGUGCAUUGGACAGGAAUCAAACCCAAAUUUCCAGCAUGGGAGGUGAGAAGUCUACCACUGAACCACAUAGCCCCUAUCUUCAAGCUUAUGAUUCUUUUAUUGGCCAUGUCCAGUCUACUGUGAAGACUAUUUUUUCAUGAAAUAUUGAAUGUGUUUUAAGUAUGUGGACAUUGCCAGGGGCUGUCCAUGAAAGUUGAAUAUAAUCUUCUUUGAACUUAGCCUCAAGAUCUGUAAUUUUACUGGGUGGGAGCACAGAAGGGUGAUUGCCAGGAGGAGG